rnacentral:rRNA from 1 species
AUGAAGAACGUAGCGAAAUGCGAUACUUGGUGUGAAUUGCAGAAUCCCGUGAACCAUCGAGUCUUUGAACGCAAGUUGCGCCAGAAGCCACUAGGCUAAAGGCACGUCUGCCUGGGCGUCACGC